AACGAACGCUGGCGGCGCGCCUAAUACAUGCAAGUCGAGCGAGAAGACGUAGCAAUACGUUUGUAAAGCGGCGAACGGGUGAGGAAUACAUGGGUAACCUACCCUCGAGUGGGGAAGUAACUAGCCGAAAGGUUAAGCUAAUACCGCGUACGCUCCUCGGACUUCGGUUCAGGGAGGAAAGCGAUACCGUGGGUAUCGCGCUCUUGGAUGGGCUCAUGUCCUAUCAGCUUGUUGGUGAGGUAACGGCUCACCAAGGCUUCGACGGUAGCUGGUCUGAGAGGACGAUCAGCCACACUGGCACUGCGACACGGGCCAGACUCCUACGGAGGCAGCAGUAAGGAAUAUUGCGCAAUGGGCGAAAGCCUGACGCAGCGACGCCGCGUGGGGGAUGAAGGUC
rnacentral:rRNA from 1 species